AAGUCGCUCAGUCGUGUCCAACUCUAGCGACCCCAUGGACUGCAGCCUACCAGGCUCCUCCGUCCAUGAGAUUUUCCAGGCAAAAGUACUGGAGUGGGGUGCCAUUGCCUUCUCCGUCCCUUAGGUAGAGGCUGUUAAAUUAGAGAAAGUCUUGCAUGUAGAAGGAGCAGUUGUUUGAAGAGUCACUUAGAGAUGGACCUGGGCAUAACUCUCAUCCCACUUCCUCACUGUAUGAUCUUGGACAAUUUGACCUUCAGUUUCUGAGCUUCAGCCUCAGUUGUUAAGGGAAGGUAAUCAUAUUUAUCUCCUGAGAGUAUUGUUGGGAAUUAAAUAUGAUGGGACCAUUACAGUACCCGGUGUGUAGUUGAUCCCCCAUAAUUGCUAACUGUUAGAAUAAUUACUGAGUUUUUCGUCUGGCAUCAGUGCAGUGAUCUCUAACCUUUUGGUCACCAGGGACCAGUUUCAUGGAAGACAAUUUUUCCAGAGGCAGGGGUGGAGAGAUGGUUUCUGGAUGGUUCAAGUGCAUUACAUUUCUUGUGCUCUUUAUUUCUAUUAUUAUUACAUCAGCUCCACCUCGGAUCAUCAGGCAUUACAUCCCAGAGGUUGGGGACCCCUGAUAGGGAACUCAUGCACUCCUCUGGAUGCACCUGAAGAGAUGUACCUUUUUCAUUGUUGGCGUUUCUAGUUUGGGUUUUAAAUAUUUUUAUCCUGUUGAAGUAUUACAGCUAGAAGCAGCUUGGAUACAGGUGAACUAAUUCUGUUAAUGAAUUCUGCCCUUUAAGGCAUUUAUAUGCUGACUAGGACUUUUGGGGUGGGUCUGUGCACCAGAAUUUCCCAGGAAGGUGCCCUAACCCCUUAUUUAAAGUGAACUUUUAUUGAGCCACCUGCUCAGAAGUUGCAGAAUUGCUGAAACAUUGCCGCGGGCAGGGUGUAUGAGGUGUAUGAUCACAAAAUGAAGAAAAGACAGCAGGAUGUGGAGAUUUCCACAGCACCAGGAAGAACACUCUGCAGUGUCUUACCGCCACCAUCCCAGGCAAAGAUGCAGCCAGCUAGCCAAGUCAAUAGUUGGAGUUACGUCAGGAGACUUGGCCAGGGUCCCCCCACCAUCCUGCACCUUGGGUCCCACUGCUGCGCUCAGUGGUGGUUGCUAAUGUAAAUGCCAUCCCCUGGCAUUGCAUGUUGAAACUAAGUGGAAAGCAGCAGGCUCUUUCUCUCAUCAGAUCUUCGGCUGUCUGCCUGGCAUCUGUCUGACUGCCUGCGUUGGCCAAGGAUCUGCCUUCCAGUGAGCAUCCUCAAAUGUAAAUAUGCCCCAAAGACACCCCGACUCUGGGAUUUCAAGUCUCCCAUCCAUUCCCGCCCCCCAGCUUAACUCUCUCAACGAAAGAAAUUGCUAAAGAAGAGAUGAAGAAUAAGGCCUCUCUCUGGCUCCCUAUGAGGUCCUGUUUACCAAAGAAGCUGAGCAGAGCCACAACAGAAUAAAUAAGGAAGAGCCCAACCCAGGGAGCAGGGAGCAGAGAGCUGCCCCGCGGCACCAUCUGUUCCCGCCAGCAUCCACGUCGGGCCCCGGCAGUUACAUCUGUUGAGAAGAACAGUGCGCAUGAGGAGUGGUUGGAAAGAAGUAUUUGGUCUCCCCAUCAUCUCCGUUAGUCAUUACUGGGCUGCUGGGCUCACGUGGGCGUAUCUGUGUGCACCGCCUCUCAGGCCUCAUCUGUAUCAAUUGGAAAUCAGUCACUGGGAGUUAGUUGCAGUCAGCGGGGACCCAGGGCAUUUUCCAGUGACAUCCAUUCUUCUUGUGUUGCAGAAAUUCAGGAAACAAUUAAAAUUCUGAUGCAUUCCAGGGAGGAUUUCAAAUAAAUCAGCCGAUAGCUGAUACCUUGUAACUCUUGGUAGCAAAGCAAAAUUAACAACCCAGCCACAUCUGUGUACUGUAUGCUAAAAUAAAUAAAUUAACCAUGCAUCACC